GCAUGAUCUUCAUCACCUCGUCUUUUAGGGUUGGGCCAACGAGGAGGUCGAUGAUCUGGUACUCCUUGACGGGGAGCGAGUGGAGGUAGAUCUGCUCUAGCUUCUGGAUCUUUCCGGCUUGCACGAGACGGCCGAGCUUGGUCACCGGAGUCCAUUUCUCCUCCUCGGUGGGACGGCCUCCGCGUCUGCCGCCGCGUCCUCUCGGACCGCCGCGGCCACCGCGGUCGCCGCGACCUCCUCCGAAUCCACGACCGAAGCCACCACGGUCUCCAC
rnacentral:lncRNA from 1 species